rnacentral:rRNA from 1 species
UUUCUGCCGCCGGCGACCGGCGCACGGGUGAGUAACACGUAUGCAACCUGCCCCUGUCAGGGGGACAACCCGCCGAAAGGCGGGCUAAACCCGCGUACAUGCCACCGGGGCAUCCCGGAGGCAGGAAAGGCUUCGGCCGGACAGGGAUGGGCAUGCGGCGCAUUAGGCAGUAGGCGGGGUAACGGCCCACCUAACCGACGAUGCGUAGGGGUUCUGAGAGGAAGGUCCCCCACACUGGUACUGAGACACGGACCAGACUCCUACGGGAGGCAGCAG